rnacentral:rRNA from 1 species
CCUACGGGAGGCAGCAGUGAGGAAUAUUGGUCAAUGGACGAGAGUCUGAACCAGCCAAGUAGCGUGAAGGAUGACUGCCCUAUGGGUUGUAAACUUCUUUUAUAUGGGAAUAAAACGUUCCACGUGUGGGAUUUUGUAUGUACCAUAUGAAUAAGGAUCGGCUAACUCCGUGCCAGCAGCCGCGGUAAUACGGAGGAUCCGAGCGUUAUCCGGAUUUAUUGGGUUUAACGGGAGCGUAGGUGGAUUGUUAAGUCAGUUGUGAAAGUUUGCGGCUCAACCGUAAAAUUGCAGUUGAAACUGGCAGUCUUGAGUACAGUAGAGGUGGGCGGAAUGCGUGGUGUAGCGGUGAAAUGCUUAGAUAUCACGAAGAACUCCGAUUGCGAAGGCAGUUCACUGGACUGCAACUGACACUGAGGCUCGAAAGUGUGGGUAUCAAACAGGAUUAGAUACCCUUGUAGUC